ACUUGCUUUCUUUGUCGGCGACCGGCGCACGGGUGAGUAACACGUAUCCAACCUGCCCUUUACUCGGGGAUAGCCUUUCGAAAGAAAGAUUAAUACCCGAUGGCAUAAUGAUUCCGCAUGGUUUCAUUAUUAAAGGAUUCCGGUAAAGGAUGGGGAUGCGUUCCAUUAGGUUGUUGGUGAGGUAACGGCCCACCAAGCCUUCGAUGGAUAGGGGUUCUGAGAGGAAGGUCCCCCACAUUGGAACUGAGACACGGUCCAAACUCCUACGGGAGGCAGCAUG
rnacentral:rRNA from 1 species